rnacentral:sRNA from 1 species
UAAAAUAAAUUGUCUAGGCUGAUGAGGUGACCCAGCAGACUAAGGCUGAACCUGGUGACCGGAUCCCGAAACCAAUGAGGAAGGAGAGACAGGAUUGUAGCAGAUUGUCCUCUGAUGUCCACAUACAUGCUAUGGCAUGUGCACUCAGGCAUGAACAUGCAUACGACAUGAGGCGGUGCACAAGCAUGUGCACACACAUUUAUGGGGGGAGGGGGAGGCAGUGAAUGAAUAUAUUUCUUUAUGAUUGAUGAUGGGCCUGUGUUUGACUUCUAUGCCUAUUUUAUGCACCUGUAAGCCCAGCGACACAAAAAUACCUUGUUUAAAUGACAUAAAUGUGUAGAGGGUGGAAACAUGUUCAAAAAGUCUUGGUUUAAGGCUCAGGGAACAUCCCUGAAGAGGAGGGUUGUCCCCAGAGAUCAGAGAGGACCCAAGUGAAACAGCAUCUUCUGCAUAUAACAGUAUGGCCACAGUCAUGAAUCCAUACAAGACCACACAGGAGCAAGCCAAUCAACAAUGUAGCACGGAUGGGAGGGGUCAUGAGCCCCCUAGCUGAGCAGCUAUUCACAGGGGUCUUCUGGGAAAUCGAGAGUCACCUUUCAACAGCGUGGCCCUGCAACCUGCAAUGUUCCACUCAGCGUAUUUCCUGUUGAUGUCUUUGACAUCACACUAGCCAUUGCUGUCCUGCACCACAUCAGCAUCCUCCUCAGAGAGCCAACACUGAGCACAGAAAGGACCCUGAUCUUUGUGGCUGCUGUCCUUACUACCACCUCCUCAGGACAGAAGCCAGAAUUAGAGCAGCCGCAGCAGCAGAGGAAUUCAACAGGGAGGGAGCUGCUGUGUCCCGCGGCCUCCAUCAGCUAGACACCACCCUACUCAAGACAGAGGCAUAGCGCUGAUGAACCAGAGAAUUGUCACGUAAGGGACAAGAUCCAGUGUACUCUCCGACAUGGAGGAAGAGCGUCUCUGGCCCUCCUGCCUGCUCCUGAGACUCUUCUUCCUUCUGGGUCGCCCUGUCAGCCUCGACAGGAGGGGCUUUGUCUUGUCUGACUGUAUGCAGUUUUGUCCUUUUGGUUAUUGUCUUUUGGAGGUCUGCUCUUCUGUGGAGAGAAACAGAAGGAGUGGAUCUGGGCAGAGGUGUGGGGGAGCUGGGAGGAGUGGAGGGAGAGGAAACUGUGGUCAGGGUGUGUUGUUGUAUGAGAGAAGAAUCUAUUUUCAAUAAAUAAUAACAAGUA